GAUGAACGCUGGCGGCGUGCCUAAUACAUGCAAGUCGAGCGAACGGACGAGAAGCUUGCUUCUCUGAUGUUAGCGGCGGACGGGUGAGUAACACGUGGAUAACCUACCUAUAAGACUGGGAUAACUUCGGGAAACCGUAGCUAAUACCGGAUAAUAUUUUGAACCGCAUGGUUCAAAAGUGAAAGACGGUCUUGCUGUCACUUAUAGCUGGAUCCGCGCUGCAUUAGCUAGUUGGUAAGGUAACGGCUUACCAAGGCAACGAUGCAUAGCCGACCUGAGAGGGUGAUCGGCCACACUGGAACUGAGACACGGUCCAGACUCCUACGGGAGGCAGCAGUAGGGAAUCUUACGCAAUGGGCGAAAGCCUGACGGAGCAACGCCGCGUGAGUGAUGAAGGUCUUCGGAUCGUAAAACUCUGUUAUUAGGGAAGAACAUAUGUGGAAGUAACUGUGCACAUCUUGACGGUACCUAAUCAGAAAGCCACGGCUAACUACGUG
rnacentral:rRNA from 1 species